CAUGGGCCUAGCUGGCCCUUAAUUGGGUUGGCUCAAAUCCAAACCCAAUUACGUGCUAACUAUGAUUCCUCAAACAUUUGCUAAGCUAAACAAGUCCCUAUGUCUUGGUUUCUUCCAGCAAUGUUCCGGUGGACUCCCGGUAAGCUCCUGGACUUCACGACAAUCUUCCUAACGAGUUCCGACGAGCUUCUCUAGCAAGCUCCGAGACUUCUCGG
rnacentral:lncRNA from 1 species